UAGCCUUGACAUAUAUUAGAAUCCGACAGAGAUGUUGGAGUGCCUUCGGGAGCUUUUAUACAGGUGCUGCACGGCUGUCGUCAGCUCGUGUCGUGAGAUGUUGGGUUAAGUCCCGCAACGAGCGCAACCCUCGUCACUAGUUACUAACGGUUCGGCCGAGGACUCUAGUGAGACUGCCUUCGUAAGGAGGAGGAAGGUGAGGACGACGUCAAGUCAUCAUGGCCCUUACGGCUAGGGCAACACACGUGCUACAAUGGCCAGGACAGUGAGACGCGAUACCGCGAGGUGGAGCAAAUCUAUAAACCUGGUCUCAGUUCGGAUUGUAGUCUGCAACUCGACUACAUGAAGCUGGAAUCACUAGUAAUCGUAGAUCAGCUAUGCUACGGUGAAUACGUUCCCGGGUCU
rnacentral:rRNA from 1 species